rnacentral:rRNA from 1 species
CCUACGGGUGGCAGCAGUGAGGAAUAUUGGUCAAUGGCCGAGAGGCUGAACCAGCCAAGUCGCGUGAGGGAAGACGGCCCUACGGGUUGUAAACCUCUUUUGUCGGGGAGCAAAGCGAACCACGUGUGGUUCAUUGAGAGUACCCGAAGAAAAAGCAUCGGCUAACUCCGAGCCAGCAGCCGCGGUAAUAGGGAGGAUGCGAGCGUUAUCCGGAUUUAUGUGGUUUAAAGGGUGCGAAGGCGGCGGUACAAGUCAGCGGUAAAAUUGCGGGGCUCAACCCCGUACUGCCGUUGAAACUGCAUGCCUUGAGUGCACGAGAGGUAUGCGGAAUGCGUGGUGUAGCGGUGAAAUGCAUAGAGAUCACGCAGAACUCCGAUGGCGAAGGCAGCAUACCGGCGCGCAACUGACGCUGAUGCACGAAAGCGUGGGGAGCGAACAGGAUUAGAUACCCCUGUAGUC